rnacentral:rRNA from 1 species
UACGAAGGGUGCAAGCGUUACUCGGAAUUACUGGGCGUAAAGCGUGCGUAGGCGGUUUGUUAAGUCCGCUGUGAAAGCCCUGGGCUCAACCUAGGAAUUGCAGUGGAUACUGGCAAGCUAGAGUGCGGUAGAGGAUGGUGGAAUUCCCGGUGUAGCGGUGAAAUGCGUAGAGAUCGGGAGGAACACCCGUGGCGAAGGCGGCCAUCUGGACCAGCACUGACGCUGAGGCACGAAAGCGUGGGGAGCAAACAGG